UAAAAGCUUUAANCUCUUAAUUUAAAAGACAGUAGUUAAACUCUACUAUUAAGGG
rnacentral:tRNA from 1 species